UUUGGUUGCCAAUGCAAAAGCCU
rnacentral:siRNA from 1 species